rnacentral:lncRNA from 1 species
CAGUGCUGCCACAUUUAUAGGACAGAAAUAGUAAAAUACGCAAUUUGUAGAAAAUGGCGUUUUGUGACUUUUAGCACAUGUCAAUUUUCUCCGGUAAGAAAAGUAUUUUUCUUCUAAAUUAUUUAAAAAAAUAGUUUAGUAAGUGCAUAAUAUACGUUCAUAGUGUAGUUUUAACCACGUAUCCUUUGAUCAACUUGUUUUAAGAACAUAUGUAAACAACUCUUUCAAAUAUUUAGUGCUGUCAUUACGCGACAAAAGUGCCCAGACUUUUAAUUUAAUGAAAUAUUUAUCUUUCUUUUAAGAUUAUCGCUAAAUACGUCUAAUAAUGUGUAAUUUUCAUACGAUAAAGGACUAAUACUUUUUGGCAAAAAGGAUUCUCGAUAAAAUUCUAUAGUACUUUUGGUGAGUAGAAUUGAACUGCCCUUAAAUCAUGUAGUUAUUUUUAAUCGAAUUGUAUUCGGUGUGUCUACUACGUUUGUUACUAAAUUUAUCUUUUGGAAAGUGUCCAAAUAUUAACUUUUCUGAUGUUCAUAUGAGACGAGCACAAGAAGUAGAUUUCUAAAUAGGUUAUCUAUUUCUAAGUGAGUAUUAACUAUUAUAAAUAUAUUGCAAUAUAUCCAAAGCAUAUAGUUUGCAUUAUUGGUUAAGUUAGACAUUGGCCUUCCUUAAGAUACAAUGUUUUGAAGUCAUUUUACUUACCUUGUAACCUAUUUAUUGAUUUAAAGAAUCACAUCAUUCAUUUAAGGUGAUAAUCUGAGAAUUUAAUGAUGUAAACAUUAUCAUUAAAUGGUUUCCCACAUACCAGUUUGUGCACUGUAGACAUGAAGGUGAAUAUGAAUACCUGAUACAUAAAAUGUGGUGAAUAUUUAGCUAAAUGUAAAUGAAUAAUAAUUGCAUAUAGCAUUCAAAGGUUUUCUAUUUUAAUUCAAUUAAAAAGAAAAUUUGGUUGUGUCUUUGAAAGUAACAUAGCCCUUUCAGGCCUGAACUUUUUUUUGAGUGAAAAUGAAGUUUCCCUUUGAAUAAAUACAGUAUACGGUAUCUAAAAAAGGUGUAAAAAAUGCAGAAAAAAAAUUCAUACAGUUCAUUCAUUCAAUACAGUUUCUUCAAUGCCCUUGUCAUCAGUGUUCUUUUUAAAUAUUUGAACCUCAAAUGCAUCAUCAUUUUCGCCAUCUAAAUCUUCUAUUUCGGACUAGUUACCAUCAUUUAACAACUCUAGAGCCAAAUCAUGGGUCAGAGGCACACCUGUAAUUAGAAAAAAUACUUGUAUCAUUUAAAUAGAGAAAAAGUAAUAAAAAGUCAAACCAAUAAA